CUGGUCCCCAAAGACCUCACUGCUUGUUCUCUCCACCCCACUGUGGCUCUCGCACCGCCAGCACCAGACCGCGGCUGCACGCCCUGCUCGGAGGGCACCACAUCUCCGGGACAGAAAUCAGCAGAUAAAACAGCCAAACCUCUGAAUGCUCCCGCAAGCCAGACAGCCAAGACUUUGUAGGUUCACUCGUCAUUAGCAGGAACUCAUGGGUGACUGAUAUGACACAAGUAGGCUGGGCGGAGGGAGAGCCCCCCCGCUGCUUACAGCCAGAAUUACUGCAGAUGGGUUUGCCCAGAGGACAAGCCAGAAAAGAAAAUGGGAACUGCAACCAGAAACAGAACUGGCCUGAGGAAGGUACCGGGAAAUAGAUGGUGUGCAGCCAGAGAGGACUUAAAAAUGAAAGAUCCCUUUGUGAGCCUGAAACUGCAGAAAGGCAGCCUGGAAAAUGACCUGAUGGAACACUUCAGGAGCCGGCAGCUGUGAGCUGAUUGUACUCUCUCAUUAUGCAGUCUGUAUCACUAAUGGCCUGUGACAAAGGCAUGCCAUCUUCCAGGCCUUACCCCCGAGAGCCAAUUAAACACACAUACUCCCUUCCUGUUUGCAGCGCAUUACAAUGAAAUUAAACUGAAUUUCAAAAUCAUUUUCUCCUAAAGACAUCUCUUUGCAAUAAUUAAUGCAUGCUAUUCCUUUGCAGCUGAAAUAUUCAUCAGGAGCCUUGACUACAAAAAUUUUUAGAGCUGAUUGCCCCACACCCGGCGCUGUCUGCCCCUGCUCCGGCACCAAACGUGGCCCUGGCACGGGAUCGGGACCUGCGGUGACACCCCCGGCAGGGCAGCCCCGUGUCUGGUUCAGAGCAGCCGUGACAA